rnacentral:rRNA from 1 species
GACGGGACCCGCACAAGCGGUGGAUGAUGUGGUUUAAUUCGAUGCAACGCGAAAACCUUACCACCUUGACAUGGCAGGAAUCCCGAAGAGAUUGGGAGUGCUCGAAAGAGAACCUGCACACAGGUGCUGCAUGGCUGUCGUCAGCUCGUGUCGUGAGAUGUUGGGUUAAGUCCCGCAACGAGCGCAACCCUUGCCAUUAGUUGCUACGAAAGGGCACUCUAAUGGGACUGCCGGUGACAAACCGGAGGAAGGUAGGGAUGACGUCAAGUCCUCAUGGCCCUUAUAGGUGGGGCUACACACGUCAUACAAUGGCCGGUACAGAGGGUAGCCAACCCGCGAGGGGGAGCCAAUCCCACAAAGCCGGUCGUAGUCCGGAUCGCAGUCUGCAACUCGACUGCGUGAAGUCGGAAUCGCUAGUAAUCGCGGAUCAGCAUGUCGCGGUGAAUACGUUCCCGGGUCUU